rnacentral:rRNA from 1 species
AACGAACGCUGGCGGCAGGCUUAACACAUGCAAGUCGAACGGAUCCUUCGGGAUUAGUGGCAGACGGGUGAGUAACGCGUGGGAACGUACCCUUUGCUACGGAAUAACUCAGGGAAACUUGAGCUAAUACCGUAUGUGCCCUACGGGGGAAAGAUUUAUCGGCAAAGGAUCGGCCCGCGUUGGAUUAGCUAGUUGGUGGGGUAAUGGCCUACCAAGGCGACGAUCCAUAGCUGGUCUGAGAGGAUGAUCAGCCACACUGGGACUGAGACACGGCCCAGACUCCUACGGGAGGCAGCAGUGGGGAAUAUUGGACAAUGGGCGCAAGCCUGAUCCAGCCAUGCCGCGUGAGUGAUGAAGGUCUUAGGAUUGUAAAGCUCUUUCACCGGUGAAGAUAACGACGGUAGCCGGAGAAGAAGCCCCGGCUAACUUCGUG